UACGUAGGGUGCAAGCGUUAAUCGGAAUUACUGGGCGUAAAGCGUGCGCAGGCGGUCUGUUAAGACCGAUGUGAAAUCCCCGGGCUUAACCUGGGAACUGCAUUGGUGACUGGCAGGCUUUGAGUGUGGCAGAGGGAGGUAGAAUUCCACGUGUAGCAGUGAAAUGCGUAGAGAUGUGGAGGAAUACCGAUGGCGAAGGCAGCCUCCUGGGCCAACACUGACGCUCAU
rnacentral:rRNA from 1 species